GGGCGGUGCAGGGCAGGCAAACCACUCCUGCAUCCCACCCACAAGGCAGAGGACGGGGUCCCACCCGACUGACUUGGGCUGUCCUGGUCACUGCCCACCUUCCAUGCCAGGAUAGAGGGGCCACCGCGGCGGGUCUGUCCAAGGUUCUGGGGUCUGCCGUUGGAGUGAGUGAUCCUGAGGACCCCUGGAGGGUCUCAGCACAGACUUGUGACACCUGAGCUCAAGCCCAGCUCCGGCUGACUGUGUAUCAACUCUCUUUCUCCAUCUCUAAAAUGGGCACAGUAAUCCCUGCCUCCCUCAGAAGGGUAUGAGGAGGGUUGGAGAAGGGGUGGGGUGGGGGGCAAGCCCCCCAUAUUCUGCACGCGGUGGGACAUGUGGAGGACAGUGGAGAAGAGAAGCCAGAAACCCAGGGCCCUCUCUUCCUUUGUGCUUUUAAGUGUGUGGCUGAGCGGCUGCUCCGAAGGCAGACAGGCGGGACACUUGAUGUGCGCCAAGAGUCCGGCUCCUCCCUGCCGCCCACCUCCCGGUCAUGGUCACACCCCGCCUAAGGAGGGUGGUAGCUGGUGCUUCUCACCCUGGCGGCAGAUUCUAAUCGCCCUGCAGAUUCUAGCAAGCACGAUGGCCAAGCCACCCCAAGACCAAGAAGCACAGGCAGGGACAAGAUGUCCCAGGAGGCUGGGGCCCAGUUGCUCUGUGCUUUCCUACAAGGACUGGGCACUUUGGUCAGAGCCGAGUCUUAAGGAGAAGGUGUCGCUGAGCUGGGCAAGCAGACUCAGGGAGCCCUGGCCAGGAACCGCCCACCUAGCCUCUCGGCAUCCUGGCAGAGGGAUGAGGGGCCUGAGCCAGGGAUGUGGUGGGAGCCGAUGAGCUCACCGACACGGUGAAGAUCUUGUCUCACUCCUGAAGGACCUGCCAUACCUGAGCUAAUCGCAGGGACGGGGGAGCCAGUCGGCUGAAGCAGUGACCUUCUGGGGGUGGGACCGACCGGCCUCAGAGACUUUGGGUGGUGGGGCGUCUUGGAGGACAGUUUGUAGAUGAGGAUGUUUUCUUAUGGAGGACAGUCUGGGAAGCCUGCACAGGGUGGGGUUACCAUGCAUGGAUUCAUCCAGGGCUGGGGGUGGGGGGGAGGUGGCUGUACCCUGGGCCACUGUAUUGCCCAGUGGCCCAGCAGAACUUGUGUCCUCACUAUGUCAAGAACCUGAAUGCAGGAUUAGGGGAGGAAGUGUUCUCCUGUUCUUAAGGAAAAUGUUCAGUUCUCUUUAAAAUGAUCGUGCACGAUUUCACCGAUCUCUCAAAGAAGAAUCACAGUUGUCGCCACGGUCCUAUACCCAAGGAGGGUGGCCCACCGUCCUGGUUGGCCUAGGACUGCCCCAGUUUUAAAACUGGAAGUUCCAUGUCCUGGGAGACCCUUCCGUCUCGGGCAGAGCGGGCCCCGCCCCUGCUCCGGUGGAGGAGAACUCAGUUCACACAACCUUCUAACGCGUCUCCAGUGGCUGGCCUGCCCAUCAGCCACCUGCCAUCUGUGUGUGCACGUGGAUGCAUGGAACGGCACCCCCAGGCGUAUUUGAGCUUCACCAUUUGGUCCAGUGGGCCAGAAUUCUGGGGCUCUCGCUGCAACCCCUUCCUUUGGGGUUGUCUGGUAGAGAAGACAGAAGCAGGAGGCUGCUGCCAACACAGGACCCCAGAAGAAGGCCAGAUUCUGCCAGUGUUGAGUCCCUUUCCACUUAAACUUGUCAAUAUAUUUCUUUUUUUUUUUUUCCCUCUUAAGCCAGUUUACAUUGGUUUCUUAGUUCACAACUGACAAAAUCUGAUUUGUGCAGUUCUCUGCACUCAUGCCCCAGCCCUCCAUCUGGUGUAUUCCUGGCUCCGAAUGAGCGAGCUCUCAAGCAGGGCAUCUGAGUGAAUGAGAGGCUGGGCCCUGGCCUGAUAACCAGGCAGGCACUGCAUCUGGCUGCGAGUAACAGCCGGGUCAGUAGCGACUUCAAGAAGACAAACUUUUCCCUCCUUCAUUCGUCUUUCCUCAUGUUGCAAGAAGUCUGGCUUUUGUCAUUCCUGGGCCACGGCACGGCAGUUCAAUGCUAUUACUGAGGACUGAAACCGUUCCAUAUUUUUCUUCUGCCGUCCUUCCCACACUGCUGUGGUCUUCAUGGUCACAAGAAGGCUGCUGCUACUCCAGGCAUUCUGAAUGAGUUCCAGGCAGGAAGAGAAAAAUAGGGUGAUGGAGGGGGAAGAGGCACUCCCUUGAUAUGUAAAACCCUUAUUUGUACAUCUCAUCAACCAGAAGCACGUCACAUGGCAUCCUGAGAUGCAGAGGAAGUUGAGAAAUGGAGUUUGUUAGUGGGGCUCGCUGUUACCCUAGAUAGUGUCAGGUUUCGGUUAUAAAGGAAGGCUAAAUGGAUAUGAGGUAGGCAGCUGGCAAUCUCUGUCACUGGUCCUUUGCCUUUAUUUGUAAUUGUCUUUAUUUGGGACCUAUUUUGGGUAUUUGGGUGACUUUUGUGGUACCCUUAUGUGCCAGCUUUGCCCUUGUCUGCUCUGCAGGGAUAGUAGCUGAACUCACCUGUCUUUUGCAGUUCCAACCUGGAGUCAGACUGGCUUCUUGGGGCUCCUAAGAAUUCAUACCAGUAAGAAAGUCUGAGGCUGAGCCAGACACGUUCCUUCUGAGAGAAGCAUGGUGAUGCUCCUUGGUCCGCAGUGAGCAAAAGGCACAGACCUGGGGAACAGCUGAUGGAUAAGUGAAUGGUGGUGAUGGCUAGCGGGUGGAUAAAUGGAGAGGGAAAUGUAGUCCUCUACUUGGUAAACAUCACAGAGUGGAGUGCUCACAGUGUGAGAGACAGCAUAGAUACAGUGUAUAAAACAGUGUCUGCCCUCAGGCAGCUUGCAGACUGGGAGCUCAGAAGUGGACAGAGAGACCUGUAAGUAGAUAUUAGAUCUGCACUUAGGCAGAUGGCUAGUUAGGGCUAAAAAUGUGGCAGGUGCAAAUUAAGAUAUACCAUCAGUGUAAAAUACACACCAGAUUUUGAAGGCUUGGUACCAAAAAAUAUUGUAUAAUCUCAUUAGUAACAUUGUUUUGAUCAUUGUUUUGAUUAUGCAUUGAAAUGAUAAUAUUUUGGACACAAUUGGGUUAAAUAAAAUACUAAAAUUAA